AAGUCGUAACAAGGUCUCCGUAGGUGAACCUGCGGAGGGAUCAUUACCGAGUUUACAACUCCCAAACCCAUGUGAACAUUACCUUUAUGUUGCUUCGGCGGAGCCGCCCCGGCGCCCGGAACCCCCUGCGGUCCGCGGCCCGGAACCAAGGCGCCCGCCGGAGGCCACAAACUCUUCUGUUUUUACAGUUUCUUCUGAGUGUGCCGCAAGGCAGUAUACAAAAUGAUUAAAACUUUCAACAACGGAUCUCUUGGUUCUGGCAUCGAUGAAGAACGCAGCGAAAUGCGAUAAGUAAUGUGAAUUGCAGAAUUCAGUGAAUCAUCGAGUUUUUGAACGCACACUGCGCCCCUUGGUAUUCCGGGGGGCAUGCCCGUUCGAGCGUCAUUUCACCAAUCAAGCCUGGCUUGGUAUUGGGCACCGGGGGCGACCCGGGCCUCAAAGUCGCCGGCUGGUAAGCUCUGAUCUCAGCGUCGUGAUCAAUCAAAUUCGCUUUGCAGAGGAGUGAGCCGUGCCGGUUAAGAAUUAUCUAAAGGUUGACCUCGGAUCGGGUAGGAAUACCCGCUGAACUUAA
rnacentral:rRNA from 1 species